GACGGAAGGUGCAAGCGUUGCUCGGAAUCAUUGGGCGUAAAGGGUGCGUAGGCGGCUUGGUGGGUCUGGUGUGAAAGCCCCGGGCUUAGCCCGGGAAGGGCGCUAGAAACUGCUCGGCUUGAAUAUGGAAGAGGGUCGCGGAAUUCCCGGUGUAGAGGUGAAAUUCGUAGAUAUCGGGAGGAACACCAGUGGCGAAGGCGGCGACCUGGGCCAAUAUUGACGCUGAGGUGCGAAAGCGUGGGGAGCAAACAGG
rnacentral:rRNA from 1 species